CAGCUCCAAUAGCGUAUAUUAAAGUUGUUGCAGUUAAAAAGCUCGUAGUUGGAUCUAGGGACGCGCAUUUCAAGCGCCCGUGCCAUCGGGUCAAACCGGUGGCUGCGUUGGCGUUGCGGGCUCGGUCCGUCGGUGCUCACAAAAGCAUCGGCGUGUCAACCGGCCCGCCCGUCCCCUCCUUCUGGAUUCCCGUUCCUGCUAUUGAGUUAGUGGGGACGUCACAGGGGGCUAAAUGGCGCACGGCGGUGGGUCCCUGGGGCCCAGAUCGUUUACCGUGAAAAAAUUAGAGUGUUCAAAGCAGGCAGAUCCAAUUUUCUGCCACCGAAUACAUUAGCAUGGGAUAAUGGAAUAGGACCCUGUCCUCCUAUUUUCAGUUGGUUUUGGCAGCGCGAGGACUAGGGUAAUGAUUAAUAGGGAUAGUUGGGGGCAUUAAUAUUUAAUUGUCAGAGGUGAAAUUCUUGGAUUUAUGAAAGAUUAACUU
rnacentral:rRNA from 1 species